AACUGCAUAUUUAACCUGUUCUUUAGACUUUCAAUACAAGCCAAGAUGACGUUUUGACAUUCUGAUGUGUUUCAAAAUGUUAAUGAAGACAUUUGGGCGCCAUCCUUUCUAGAGACGCUCCUGACAGUCAGUGCCGGAUUGCUCUGUACAAACACAGUGUGAUGACAUUCAGAGCCAGGUUGAGCUGGGGGUCUCUCCUAGAGCUGGGGAGACUUCUCAGGCACUCAGAGCUACAUAUAGAAAUGUUGCUAUGAAAGUGGGUUUGGGGUGUUCGAUGGAGCCAGGAGUUCUCUGUGUUACCAUUGAUUAAAACCAUAUAUAGCAGACGCGAAGGGAUAGUUCACAGAGAAGAUAUAAACUCAGCUAAUAGGCCCUUUCCUUAAGAAUGGCUUGUUUCUAUGUGCUAUGUGUGUUUAUGGGGAAGAGACAGAUUUGGGUGUCUGGCAAACAUCAUGUGUAUUAUGUCAGUUCACAUACCUACAGUGGGCCUUUCAUGCUGCCAGUGAAUGAGAGCCCCUGGCUGCACAUGUUUUAGAUCAUAGCAAAGAGAUGAAGCAUAUGUUUUGGUAAUUUAAUAUUAAAUCUAUGAGAUUUCAAAGCAUUUGAUUCUAUUACUUCAGUUAUUGAUAAAAAAUAAACUGUGGGUGAGUAACUUCAUUGAGCUGCCCCACCAGGCAAAUAGAGCUAGGCAGGCCUGGUGCUGCAGUCCGUUGUCAUUAUAUGAAGUACCUUUACAGUGGCUUCUUCUUCUUCUUCUUCUUCUUUUUUUUUUUUUGAUUAAAAAAAAAAGUGUUCAAGGAAUGUAAGAUGGAAAUGGCCCUGGGGCCUACAUAGUGUGCUCAAGACCAAUUUGAUCAAUAGAGUGAAAGCCUUUCUCAAAAUUU
rnacentral:lncRNA from 1 species